rnacentral:rRNA from 1 species
AGUCGAGGGGCAGCAUGAUUUGUAGCAAUACAGAUUGAUGGCGACCGGCGCACGGGUGAGUAACGCGUAUGCAACUUACCUAUCAGAGGGGGAUAGCCCGGCGAAAGUCGGAUUAAUACCCCAUAAAACAGGGGUCCCGCAUGGGAAUAUUUGUUAAAGAUUCAUCGCUGAUAGAUAGGCAUGCGUUCCAUUAGGCAGUUGGCGGGGUAACGGCCCACCAAACCGACGAUGGAUAGGGGUUCUGAGAGGAAGGUCCCCCACAUUGGUACUGAGACACGGACCAAACUCCUACGGGAGGCAGCAGUGAGGAAUAUUGGUCAAUGGCCGAGAGGCUGAACCAGCCAAGUCGCGUGAAGGAAGAAGGAUCUAUGGUUUGUAAACUUCUUUUAUAGGGGAAUAAAGUGGAGGACGUGUCCUUUUUUGUAUGUACCCUAUGAAUAAGCAUCGGCUAACUCCGUGCCAGCAGCCGCGGUAAUACGGAGGAUGCGAGCGUUAUCCGGAUUUAUUGGGUUUAAAGGGUGCGUAGGUGGUGAUUUAAGUCAGCGGUGAAAGUUUGUGGCUCAACCAUAAAAUUGCCGUUGAAACUGGGUUACUUGAGUGUGUUUGAGGUAGGCGGAAUGCGUGGUGUAGCGGUGAAAUGCAUAGAUAUCACGCAGAACUCCGAUUGCGAAGGCAGCUUACUAAACCAUAACUGACACUGAAGCACGAA